CCCUCUCUGCCCCCCACCCAGUGACCCCACACAUCCAGCUCAACUGUACCUUUUGAACUUUGACCUUCUCACCCACAGGACCAGGACCGUCCCCUUCCAUUGGCGUUCCUCCACCGUGCACGGCCAAUCCCACGUGCCGAGCCCCCCCAGCCCGCAUCCACAUUACCGCCACGCCCCCUCUCCGCGGCCAAAAGGGUCCCUCUGCAGCAACAGCCAGGUUCCUCAGAACCAAGAUACCCCUGGGGAUCAAUGACCUCCACGGGUCCGUCCACUGAGAUGCCCCUGAAGCCUCCAGCUCAAAGUGAAGAAGAAGAUGAGGAUGGAGCACUGGCUGCUGCUCCCCCAUUCAUAAAUCCUUAAGAGGAAGAGAACCGGUGUCCGGUUACAUGAAACAGGGUGUCAGUAGCUUCACAGCACAUGGUGAUGAAGACCACAGUCAAUGAGGCCAGAUGAGAUCUGUUCAGGCAGGGUGGGUCUUACUCGGAGCUACAAGGCAGUAGCCUCUUAUUUUCAUCAAAGGAAAGUGAAAGUAAUAGACAACAGAGAGGAACAUGAUCAAAAGUUGGAUACUCUCUCCAGUCCAGAAAGUUCCAGCUUCCCAUCUCUCUCUCCUCCACCCGAUCAGUUUUGUGUCCCUGUGAGUAAAUGUGCGUAGAAAUCUGGUUUUUCAUUUGCUCUAAAUGCUUAUUAACUGUUUGGUUUAUCAACACGAAUGACACACAUGACCGGAGCAGAUAUGUCGACAAUCCACAAUGAACCCAGAAUCUGAAGAUCAGGUGAGAUCCCCACCGCACCUGGAAGAAAUUCUAAGAUCCCUCCUGGUCCUCCUUUGGGAAUGUCAGAUGGAUUGGUAACUCAGGCAACAGAAGAAGGAAUAUAGGGGGGGAAGCUGGAGAGAAAACAAUUAAUUUCCCCAAGCAUUGGGGAAAGUUCCUGUGGUGGGCUAUGGCGGGGGGGGGGGUGAUGCAGCCUAGUGCUCUGCCACCCAGGCAUGGACAUCUGUAACGGUAACGGGGCCAAAAUGCAAACUGUAGACCUCCAGAAGGUCCUGGGGGGGCAGUGUACAAAGCAGACCUUAUCACCAUCCCUACCCAGAUCUGAAGACAUGUAACUUAAGUCAUUUUCACCGCCCUGAGCCACGUGCAAAUGGAGGCCCCGCAUCGGUUUGUUCUGAAAAACGCUCCUUUCUGAGACACCAUGGACCAGCAGGGGCGACGUGGAUGAUGCAAAUGAGAAAUGAUGUCGUGGCACUUAAGGUUUCCCAGCAAAACACCCCCAAUGCGCCAUGUCUUAGUGUGGCGGUCAGGACCAAUAUGUCAGGAAAGCAAAUCAGCAUUAUCCUCGUUGUGCUUAAUGCUGUGGCUCGCUGGCGUCUUCACUAAUGUUUUAUCGGGAAUAUUUUUAGCUUACAGCUUGCAGGACGCGACCCAUAUUUCAUCAGGCCGGAGAGACAAACAUAUUCUAGGCUAUGCUGUGCACAAACAUAAUCAUUCGAAUGCAAUUCGACUAUUAGUUCCAGCUCGAAAUGAAAAACAUUGCCAGAAAGAUCGGCCACUCAUGCCCAAGGAGCAUAAACUCCCACAAUCCGCCAUGAACGUGACUUAAUGUCCCAUAUUCUGUACAAAGAUUCACCUUUUUCAUGCAUUUCAUUCAAUUCUAGAAGAUAUUCUGUUCACUUUUCAGGGCCUUUGCAGCUCUCAGUGACAGAAGAGGCACUUUGCUCUGGUUUAGCUGGUGCUGUCUGCCGUUGACGCCUAUGCAGCCUGGUCAGGGCUGGGCGUCUCUCUUCCAUCCAGACUCCAUUUCCUGUGUCAGGCAGGAAGUAGGUGUGGGUGUGUGUAAGGUGGAGCGCUGCGAGUGACACGCUUGUUACAGCUUUCCCACGACAUAAAAGGGAGACAGCGUUAGUACUUGUUCAAGAAGAUAAGUCAAAAACUAUUGUCAAGAUAAAAUCAUACAUGUAGGUGGUUCGUUUUCCGCUAAGAAAGCACAUCACCAAGCCUCCAGAUAUUAGUGUUGAACUCGAAAACAGGAAUUAAUCAAUAAACUAAAACAAAAUAAAAGCCGCGGUUUUUUUGUGGGGAGAGCAAGUUGGCUGGUUUCUCGUGCUUGGUCUGAACGGAAUAUUGACUUUGACGUUUCUCCUCUUUGUUAAUUUUUGAGCAAACUUUAUGUAACUUGUCACACAUUGUUGCAGAUGCCUGCAUGCAGCGUUGCCAAGGUAACCCUGUAGUCUGACAACAAUCUACCUCUCGUUCAGUCGCCCCAGUGGCCAGAUCCCUAUGCUGAGACCUUCACCUCUGUCUGUCUGCAUAGCCAUAGACCCUUUGCAGCCCUUUCUUUAUAUGUAGCUUCUGACUGGAAGUUCCUGACCGCGGACCUCAUAUAUUCUGCUUCAUCGCUAUUUAGACACCGGUUUAAUCUAGACGCAGAUGUACUGUCUGACCGACAGUUUCCCAGAAUAGCCCACUUGCCUGUUGGUCCCUGGUCUAGAUGAACUUGGAGAGUCGUUAGUUGCUUUUACAUCUGAUGACACAGAGCUUGACACGUGUCCUAGAGGACAGCUGUGCGGGUUUCGUGUGAGAUACAUAAUAGUGGCCAAAACUGAGGAAACACCUAGCAUUUUCGGCAUCACGCUUUCAAAAUUAGUACACAAAUAUUGCCGGUAAUAUUUAUAAACAGUCAAAGAAUGCUAUGAAUAUCAUGCAUUGGACAAUUAAAUAAGUAACUGGAGCAACAGUUGAGUAGAACUCUGUAGAUCAUGUUACCAGGGACUAUGCUGUGAAAAGCAGGCUUCUGAAUAUGCUAUUAGCGAUUACCCUGCAUACAGAAUGACUCAUUGCAAGAAUGAUGCUUAUGGAUUGGUUAGCUUAUGACGUCACCAGAAAGCCGUACCUGGGAUCAUCGUCUUCUUCCAGCUAGUAUUUGGGCUGUAAUUCCGUAAUUGUAAAACUGUAAGUGACUUUGUGCUAGGAUUUGCUGCCUUACACAGGUGUGCUCAAGUCUUUCCCCUGGUGGGGUGGGGGGGGGGUGAUUUUUCUGGAACUUACCUUAACGUAAGCUUGCUUAAAGGCACGCCGAGUGCCCAGUAUAAAUACUCUAUGCAAUCGUGGGCUUUAAGUCUGGCGCGCCUGGCCCAGAUCUGCAUCAGAUCUUCAGAAACCGCCCCCCGGCCGCCCCUUCUCCUCCUCCUACUCGUCCUUCGUUAAUCUUUCUGUACAAAGAGCUGAAUGUCUUUAACACUACGCGUCGUGCAUCCACCCCAGUAGGUAAAGAAAAAAGUACGAAUCCCUUAAAUGUACGUAACGUAAGCAAGCAGGAGUCGUAGCAGAAUAUUAGGGUGUGGACACAGACGGACUGCAUCUGUAUUAGGAGUAAUGACAGAAAACGCUUAGUCACCGUAGAAAACACACAGUGUCCUGUACCAGCCUCCUGACUUUGACUGUCUUCGGAGUGACUCCGGUUUUAAUGAGUAGCGUGAUAGUCGAUGAACUUCCAGACAAGUCGAGGAACUGCAUCAACAGGGUCUUUGUUGUGUGUGUAGUGUCUGUAACAGAGUGUGCAGAUAAUUUGUGCAUAAUCAGACUGAGAAUAUCAGUAUUUUAAUAUGGAAUAUAUAGACAUUUUUAAAACGCAGAACUUAGGCUAAAUGACCACUAAGACAUGACAGAAUUUAGCGUCGUGCUACCCUUUUUUCAGCAAAUGGUAACUUGUUCUUCUGAUAGUGACUUGUAUAAAGAAAUGAAAAAAAUUAAUAAAGAAUUAUUAUAUCAA